rfam:Vibrio anguillarum 775 chromosome I, complete sequence.
CUAGUAGUAAUGACAACCACCAUUAUUAUUACCGACAUGACACAUGUUGGGGCGGGCCGCUGAGCGAAAAGUUUUUACAAAAAAGGCCUGUAUCCCACCAGAUACAGGCCUUUUUUUA